GGCCUGCCCGGCUCCCUGCUGCAGCGGCCCCCACGCACCCCACGCACCCCCUCGGCCCCUCAAGUCCCCGCCUGUCCCCUUAGGCUCCUCGGGCCUCUGGACACAACCUCCCUCUGCUUCCUGCGGGCCGCCGGCGGCCUCUUGCAGCUCCCCGGCGCCCGGCUGCGGCGGAACCUUCCGGGCCUCCCUUCACGGUAGCUUCGAGGAGGAACCACACGGGCUUGGGUCCGUUCGGAAAGGCAUUCUUCUGGGUUCCCGGGACCUCCGGCUCCGUGGGGCCGUCCCAGCGGCCCCUCCCCGAGGAUCGGAUCGGGGGAUUUGCUUCCAGAUGCCUUUUGCUAAUUAGAAACCCCCUUUCGCUCUCCCGUUAUAUAAGACUCCGAGGCACCACGUGAGCCUCUGCAAAGCUGGCUAGGUUUUAAAAACGUAUUUUUAGCCAGAAUCAAAUGGUGCGAUUUUUGCUCGAGCUCUGCGGCAGCGACGCUGGGACCCCCCGGCCCUCCCUUCUCGCCCUCUGCUUCCUCCUCCUUGGCCUUGGCCUGGGGGGGACCCUGCGCCCCUGCUUCCCCCUCGCUGUCCUGCUGCUCCUCUGGCUGGGAGGCCUGGGGCCCGUGUGCGCGUGCCUGUGCCCAUGCCUGUGCGCGCGUCCGUGUGCCCUGCGUGUGUGCGCGUGCCCAUGCCCGUGCGUGAUCUGUGCCCUGCGUCUGCAGGCACCUGUACCCUGCGUGUGCGUGCACCUGUGCCCGUGCGCGCGCGCCUGUGCCCGUGCCCGUGCCCGUGCGCGUACCUGUGCCCUGCGUGCGCGCGUACCUGUGGCCGUGCGCGCGCCUGUGCCCUGCGUGUGCGGGCACCUGUGCCGGUGCGUGUGCGCGCGCCUGUGGCCGUGCUCGUGCCUGUGCCCUGCGUGUGCGGGCACCUGUGCCGGUGCGUGUGCGCGCGCCUGUGGCCGUGCCUGUGCCCGUGCGCGUGCCUGUGCCCUGCGUGUGCGGGCACCUGUGCCAGUGCGUGUGCGUGCACUUGUGCCCGUGUGCGCGCGCCUGUGCAUGUGCGCGUGCCUGUGCCCUGCGUGUGCGGGCACCUGUGCCGGUGCGUGUGCGCGCGCCUGUGGCCGUGCCUGUGGCCGUGCUCGUGCCUGUGCCCUGCGUGUGCGGGCACCUGUGCCGGUACAUGUGCGCGCGCCUGUGCCCUGUGUGUGCGCGCGCCUGUGCCCUGCGUGUGCGCGCGUCCGUGCCGGUGCGUGUGCCCGCGCCUGUGGCCGUGCGCGCGGCCGCGGAGGUGUAGGGCGGCGGGGCGGGAGCGAGGGCCCCGCGCUCGGCCGCGCCGCGCCUCCGGCUGCUCAUUGUUCAGCCCCGUCUCCAUGGCGACGGGAGCAGCUGCUCGCUCGGGCCGCUCGGCGGUGGCGGUGCGGGGCCGCCCGCCCCGCUGUCUGCCCGCCCGCCCGCCCGCCCGGCCUGCCCAGCCGUGGGAGCUGCCAGCUCGCUCCUCGCCCUCCCGCUGCCCGCAGGCCCUGCCAGGCUGGGCGCAAGAAAGCGUGUUUACUAACACCAUCCGCACGGCUCCCUGGGCACCGCGGCUCUGCCCAGAAGAUGUCAGGCCCCGGGCACCGGGAGAACACUUUGUAGGUACCAGGAAUCCAGACAUAGGCCAAGGAGGACCCAGGCUUCCCAAGAACACUUUGUCUACACACGGUACAGGUGGCUACCUGGCUGGAUUCUGUUCCAUGCCUACCCUGAGCGGAGACCUGUCCCUUCAGGCUCUUAAGACACACAUUCCACCGCCCCGCCCCCAAUGAGCCAAAGACCUGGGUUCCAUCCUGCAUGCAGGUAAGGAACUGAAGUGAGCAUGUCCUCUCAGGUUUUGUGAGCCGAAGCUGGCCUGGGCUGUGGGCCUAGAAUUUGCCUGUGUCCUGAGGAAAGGAUCUCAGGCCUCAGCUAACAAACGGGGUAAAGGACUUUGGUAAAAUUCCAGGUUCCUGCUUGGCUGCCUGCGAUCCCUUUGAGGCCAGCCCUACUACAGACCUAGAUCUGUUGAGAGGUGCUGGGGGUCUCCACUGUGGGCAGCCCCAGGUAAGGGUGGAGGAGACGAGGAAGGGGUCCAGUCUGUGAGCACCUGGCUACUUUGGGUUGAGCAGUAGUGCUUGUGUGUUAACCACUCACCCAGUAGAGUCUGCUUGGUGCUGGUCCUGGGAUGAAACACCUCCCAUACAAGCCCUUCAUUGACUCCGCACAGAGACCCUAUGGGGCCGAAGUGAUCUACUCCGUUUUGUAGAUCGGAAGGUGAGGCUCAGUUUCCAUGAGCUGCACAGGGUGAUCCAGCUGUGGCCCAGAAAACUCAGCUCCAUGCAACCAAAAAACUUCUUUCUCUUUCCCGAAUCAUCCAACCUCACAGGAUUUGAGGGGUGUCUCUUCUAAGCUGUGAUCCGCUGGGGAACUCAACAGCAUGCCUUAAGUGACUCGGUCCCACAGCCACCUCUUUAGUCAGGCUACCCCAUCCCCUUGCUGGAGCCAAGAGCGGCCUCCUGCCUCCAAGCCUCCACAUUUGCUUCCCUCAGUCAUUUUUUCACGUAAUCGCUAGGGGGAGAAUCCUAAAAUGCACAUUGCUCAAAAAUAUAAUCGACUAAAAAAUAGAAGAAAGCAUGAAAAAUAAUGGCAACCCGGCAUGUUUGAAAUGACCCUCACUUAUAUGAAAUCGUAUACACAAGUGCAUCUAGGUCGCCACAAAUUGAGAUCCACGGAGAGAGACAGAGACAGAGACAGAGAUUGAGGCCUAGGUCCAGUGCUGUGGACUGGCAUCCAUGGGUAGUACCCCCAUCCCGCCGUGUGUACAUGUGUGUGUGUGUGUGUGUGUGUGUGUGCGUGUGUGAGAGAGAGAGAUAAAUGUUGAGGUAAAAGAGAAAGCCAUGGAAGGAUACAUUCCAGGUUAACAGCAGUGAUCUAGGGUUGGGGGGAGGAAUGGAGAGAAAGAGAGACAAAAGGCCGGCUUCUCCUAAUUCAUUUUUAUUUCAUUUCACUUGUUACAACACACAAGCACCUACACACACACAUUACUUCGGCAACUUAAAGCUAAAUACAUUUUUAAAAGACCCAAAUCUGAUUAUGUCUCUUGUUACUUAAUAUCCUUCAAUAGCUCCCCAUCGCUCCUGGGAUAUCAUCCAAACUUGACAUGGUUGGCAAGGCUGUUCAUAAUCUGCCUCCUGUCUGCCUCUCCCGCCUCAUGCCUCCACCAUGCCAGGCCACAGCCUGGGCCGCAGCCAAACUGAAUUCCACCUGGUGUCUUUGCUUGGCCUCUAGCUUCAUAUCACCGUUUCCUGUACCUGGAAGCCUCUUUCCCACCCGGGGAAGAGGACUUGGUCCCUCCAUCCCCACCCUUCCAGUGCCUUUCACAGAAGGGCAUCAUGGCCUUGUGUUCACAGAGGGGGCGCUUUCCCGGGCUGUGGAGAGGAGAGAGAGUCAGGGAAGUUGUCUUCCAAGAGACAACAACUCCCUGGGUCUUGUUCUGUUUCUUGCUAGAAGAACUGACUGGCUGGCGGAUGGUUGUGGAGGAGACUUCCACGCUGAAAUGCAUGGGAGGCCAGAUCUCCUUCCGGAGGGGCUCAGACUACUGCUCAGACUACAAUUGCCCACGACCACUUCUGAGCCCCACAGCUGGACAAACCCAGGGUCAGAACGGGCAGUGUGUCUGGCUCUCGACGCUGGUGACUUUGAUAAAAGACAACUGUGGAUGUUUGGAAAUACCAGGAAAUACCAAGACAAUUUGAAAGAGGUCCCAAACAUCAACUUAAGGAGGAAAGCUUCGUAACCACUUGGGGCCAAUGGAGCCAGAAGACAAGAGUCAUGGGCAUUUUGUCAUUUUCUUUUUUUUUUUUUUUUUUUUUUUUUUUAUGAUAGUCACAGAGAGAGAGAGAGAGAGAGAGAGAGAGAGGCAGAGACACAGGCAGAGGGAGAAGCAGGCUCCAUGCACCGGGAGCCCGACGUGGGAUUCGAUCCCGGGUCUCCAGGAUCACGCCCUGGGCCAAAGGCAGGCGCCAAACCGCUGCGCCACCCAGGGAUCCCAUUUUGUCAUUUUCUGAUUGGAGAUUUGAGAAGGCUUCCACAGGAGAAAUCAUACUCUCCGGGAAGAUAGGAGUCCAAGUCUCCUGGUCUUCGGCUGGUGACCUCAGACAAGCCUUGACCUCUCCGAGUGAGCCUCAGUCUCCUCCUCUGUGUAAAGUCUACAUAGUCCUUAAAAGCCCUUCCCUGUCUCACAUUGUUAGAACCUCUUUUUUGGAACUCAACAUUCACCCCCAUUGUGGCUGAAACGCCAGAGUCAUGACUGUAAGAUUUUCAGUAGAAAAAAGGAUUAAAUUAAAACAAAUAAUUUGCACUUGGAUACACAACCCCAAAUGAUCAACAGGAUCACACAGCUUGACAGCAACCCAUCAUUUAGACAAAGAUGUGUGAAAUCAAGAGACGUUGAAAAUAAAAAAAUAAAAAAAUAAAAAAGAGACGUUGAA
rnacentral:lncRNA from 12 species